rnacentral:tRNA from 1 species
GGUGUCUAGCUCAGUUGGUAGAGUGCUUGCCUUGCAUGCACAAGGCCCUGGGUUCAAUCCCCAGCACCA